rnacentral:ncRNA from 1 species
AAAGGAACUCGGCAAAUUGACUACCGUAACUUCGGAAUAAGGAGGGCUCAAUUCUUGAUUAAUAUCAAGUAAAAAGGAAGAAGCAUAAAAUGAUGUUGUACGACUGUUUAAUUAAAACACAGCACUUUGCUGAAAGAUAAAAAAAUCUAAGUAUAAAGUGUGAAAUCUGCCCGGUGCCGGCUUUGGUUAACAGAGAUAAUUAAAUAUACUAUUAUUUGACGUCGACGGAAACCCCGGUUAAAGGCGGCCUUAACGUGAGGGUCCUAAGGUAGCGAAAUGCCUUGGCCGUUAAAUGCGGUCUUGCAUGAAUGGUGUAACGAUACAACAGCUGUCUCU